CGAGAGCACGUCACUUAGUUGCAUUAUACUUGCAAGUUUGAAUCGAUAGCAGUGGAGAUCUGUUGUCACAAUACGUCAUCACUACUGUAAUCGUUUAUUAUUUAAACAUUUUAUAUAUACUACUUUACAAAAAUUCUAUUUUGCCAGAUAUUAUCUGCGGGUUAAACUUACAUAAAAUAAAAUACUGUUUAAUGAUACACGCGUUUAGAGGGAUGUACAGAUACAGUAUGACACCGCUACAUCCGCUUUAAAGAUAACUUAACCUAACAACAUAAUUUAUAAUGGCGUAGCCAAAAUUUGUCAAUUGGGAGGGUUUAUGACCUUCUUAACCUUACUUUUAGCUGAAAAAAAUGCAAUGCUAAUGUAAAUGUUAUAACAUCCCAUCCGGGCACCCUAACUACGCCACUAGUACAGCCUAUCUCGUCAGUGCUCCACUGCGGACAACGUUAUAGCAAUUGGUCGGUUAUGUACUACAUAAACGCCGUUAAAAAAUCAAGUAUCCGUUGGCGGGACGAAUAAGCCAACAGCUAAUGUACGUUACACAAACGUCGCGAUAUUUUUGUUUAAUGACUCGUUUGUUUUUCAAAAAGUAGUUUUAUUGUGCUCGCGGCAAUAAUAUUAUAUGCAUCCACCUACUUAAUAUUGUAUUAUAUCAUUAGGGCCGGCUGCAGUGGUCGCGUAACGUGUGUGUAUGAACUACGAAGCGUACCGGAGCGGAAAGACGUUUUGCUGCUGGACAGUCACCAUUGUUUACUCGUA